CACGUAGGGGGCGAGCGUUGUCCGGAUUUAUUGGGCGUAAAGAGCUCGUAGGCGGCUCAGUAAGUCAGGUGUGAAAACUCCAGGCUCAACCUGGAGACGCCACCUGAUACUGCUGUGGCUAGAGUCCGGUAGGGGAGCAUGGAAUUCCUGGUGUAGCGGUGAAAUGCGCAGAUAUGUGGAAGAACACCGGUGGUGAAGACGGUUUUCUGGUCUAUACCUGACGCUGAGGCGCGAAAGCUAGGGGAGCAAACAGG
rnacentral:rRNA from 1 species